CCCCUAGAUGUUCUGGGCCGCACACGCGCUACACUGAAGGAGGCAGCGUGUACUCCUGGAUCGAAAGAUUUGGGUAACCCGCGAAUCUCCUUCGUGCUAGGGAUUGAGGUUUGCAAUUAUCCUUCAUGAACGAGGAAUUCCCAGUAAGUGCAAGUCAUAAGCUUGCGCUGACUACGUCCCUGCCCUUUGUACACACCGCCCGUCGCUACUACCGAUUGAAUGAUUUAGUGAGGACUUCGGACUGGGACCGAUGCGGCUUUCGGGCUGCGUCGGUAUUCUGGAAAGAUGUCCAAACUGUAUCAUUUAGAGGAAGUAAAAGUCGUAACA
rnacentral:rRNA from 1 species